ACUCCUACGGGAGGCAGCAGUGGGGAAUAUUGGACAAUGGGGGAAACCCGUAGAUCCAGCCAUGCCGCGUGUGUGAAGAAGGCCUUCGGGUUGUAAAAGCACUUUCAGUGGGGAGGAAAGGUUGAUGUUAAUACCUAUCAGCUGUGACGUUACCCACAGAAGAAGCACCGGCUAAACUCCGUGCCAGCAGCCGCGGUAAUACGGAGGGUGCAAGCGUUAAUCGGAAUUACUGGGCGUAAAGCGUGCGCAGGCGGUCUGUUAAGCGAGAUGUGAAAGCCCCGGGCUCAACCUGGGAACUGCAUUUCGAACUGGCAGACUAGAGUCUUGUAGAGGGGGUAGAAUUCCAGGU
rnacentral:rRNA from 1 species